rnacentral:snRNA from 2 species
GCCUUCGGGCAUUUGGUCAAUUUGAAACGAUACAGAGAAGAUGUAAGUUCUUUACAAUCCAAAGACCAUGGGUUCGAAUCACAGUACUAACGACUCUCACAGUAGCAUGGCCCCUGCACUAAGGAUGACACGCUCAAUCAAAGAGAAGCUACCAAUUUUU